rnacentral:lncRNA from 1 species
AGAGCCGGGGAAGGGCGCCCGAGGCCUGCGGGCCACCUACCACCGACUCAUGGAUAAAGUGGAGUUGUUGCUGCCAAAGAAAUUGAGGCCGCUUUACAACCACCCGGCAGGUAAUGAAUCCUGAACGGCUCGCACGGAGAUCGUUCCUCUCCCUCCGAAACCGGGACAUUAGAGGCCCUGUGACAGUUGAGUUGCUACCGGAAUCCCAGAGCCCUCAUCUCGCCACUGAAGGGAAUCCAUCAAUUCUCCUAGUCUUUCACCUUGUUUCAUCUUAGGUCUCUUUCCAAAAACCGAGUAUCAGCACCCAGUGCCCUUGUUGACUUUUGAUGUCUUCGCUCCCUUAAACACUGCUCACACUCCCGACCUCUCCUCCAGACUUGAACCUUACUUAACUCCUGAGAGCCACGAAGGGGUCUUGGGCCACCAUGAAACCCUCCUUCUCCUCCCCUUUCUCCCUCCGUGAAUUUCUAACGCACACGUGGGGUAGAGCUGAAAAGGUGUCUGUCUGGUCUCAGCAGAGGGUUUGGAGUAAAGGUCAUACUUUAGUUCCUCUUGGCAGAGGCCUGCUAAGUGAGCCCUCCCCAAAAUUGGACGCUCCCCACCCCCAUCCCCUUCCCCUUCCCGGUUCAGUCAAUGUCAACCUGGUUCCAUAGACCCAGUAUAAUAAGCCAGUCAUUAUGCAAUCACUGACCAGGUUAUAUCUGUGUUUUAUGUGGGCAGAUAUGAAUACAGUUCUGUUCCACCGCUCACCAAGAUGUGACCUUGGGCAAAAUUCUAUACCUCUGUCUUAAUUCAUAUAAAAUGUAUUCAGUGUGAAAAUCAAAAAUAACAUAUGCUUGAUUCUUUGAGGAUGUUAGCUGUCACAAGUACUGGAUAAGAAUUCUUGUAGUUAAAAUAAUUCUUUAAGAAACUGGAAGGCCCCUGUCCCUCUAGCUCUUUAUCACAGUUAUUAAAUUAGUUUAUUUCUAAUACAAAAUGGGUGAUAGUAAUACUUGGGUGAGGACUAAAAUCUGAUUAUAUUAUGAAGUCUUUCAAGCAUAAAAUUGAGCAAAUAGAAAAAUUUACUCACAGUGGAAAAAUGGAGUUGCUAACAAAAAAGUGAACUUUGCCUUUACAUAGAUUAAAUCCAUAGUCUACAAUUGAUAUUAGAAAGAUUUAGUUCUGUUUGUUUCUUUGUUUGUUUGAGACAGCGUCUCUGUAUAGCCCAGUCUGUCCUGGAAUUCAGCUCUAUAGACCAGGCUGGCCUUCAACUCAGAAAUCCACCUGCCUCUGCCUCCCAAGUGCUGGGAUUAAAGGUGUGGGCCACCAUGCCCAGAGGAAGGUUUAGUUCUAAGGGAUGAGGCAGUUCUCUAGAGCCUGGGCUGGUUAUUAAAUCUGGUGUCCACUCUAAUAACAGAAUGGUCUAUACCUCUGCAUAGAUGGUAAUUUUAACACUUAAUGGCAUUACUGCAGUAUGAAAACCAUUAUAAAACUUGUUUUAAGGAACUUUAUUGAUGAAGUUUGUUUAGUUACCUAUUAGUUUUUACAUUUUUCUGCUUUGUUAUGUUUUAUGGCAGAGAUUUUCAGAAGAUAAUAAUUUGACAAUCUAUGUAAUGAUCAGAAUGUUACAAAAUCAACUGAGGUCUUUGGCAAUUCUUACCCUCCAGCUUUGGAGUGAGGACAGUGUGGAGCAGGCUCAGUUUUAAAGCACUUAAGCUAACAGAGAAUUGGAAAGUAGUCUUUUGUUGAUCUUUUUCAAGACCCUGGCUUUUAGCCACUUGUAAUUAUUGUUUAUAGUACUUAAACUGUACAGAGUAUUUUGUGCAUUUCAUCCGGAAGUCUUUGGGUUAAUUCUGUUUUAAGUGUAAUAAAAGGAACACAGAGUUGGAAGACAGAGGCAGGUUAAAUCUUGACUUUAACGAAUUCCCCAAACCUUAGGAAUCUUUUUGUUUGGUUAGUUGGUUAUUUGUUUUGUGUUUUGUUUUUGGUUUGGUUUGGUUUUCAAGGCAAGAUAUCUCUGUGCAGCCCUGGCUGUCCUGGAAUUAGCUCUGUAGAUCAGGAUGGCUUCAAACUCAGAGAUCUGCCUACCUCUCCCUCCUGGGUGCUAUGAUUGAAAGUGUGAGCCCUCACUGCCUGGGUGCAAAUCUUUUAAAAUUAAAAAUGAUUGUGAAAAAU